rnacentral:rRNA from 1 species
CCUACGGGAGGCUGCAGUGGGGAAUAUUGGACAAUGGGGGGAACCCUGAUCCAGCGACGCCGCGUGAGUGAAGAAGUAUUUCUGUAUGUUAAGCUCUAUCAGCAGGGAAGAAAAUUACGGUACCUGUCUAAGAAGCCCCGUCUAACUACGUUCCAGCAGCCGCGGUAAAACGUAGGGGGCAAGCGUUAUCCGGAUUUACUGGGUGUAAAGGGGGCGUAGACGGUGCAGCAAGUCUGAUGUGAAAGUUCGGGGGCCAACCCCGGGACUGUAUUGGAAACUGUUGAACUGGAGUGCAGGAGAGGUAAGCGGAAUUCGUGGUGUAGCGGUGAAAUGCGUAGAUAUUAGGAGGAACACCAGUGGCGAAGGCAGCUUACUGGACUGUAACUGACGUUGAGGCUCGAAAGCGUGGGGAGCAAACAGGAUUAGAUACCCGUGUAGUC